UUGUUUGUAGCUUAGUUGGUAGAGUGCUUGCCUAGCAUGCCUGAGACUCUGGAUUCAAUUCCCCAUACUAC
rnacentral:tRNA from 1 species